CAUACUUAGAGCAAUUAGAGUUAACCAAUAUUCAUUUGAAAGAGUUUAAAGUGGAUUUAGAUGUUUGAAAAAUUAAAAUGAAAUGGUUAGACUAUUGGUACAAGACAGAGUAAUACUGCCAAGGUACAUUACAAUAGGGGAGAUGCUUCAAACAAAAUGUCAGGAAAGAAAGCUACUGCUAUAUCCGAAUCUGAAGAUGCUGUUAAAAAUGGAAAGUACUCAGCUCAGCAACCAUAAUUUUGUCCUGGGUAUGACUGUCACCACUAUAGCAAGCCAUGACAACAUCUAACAGAAAAUGCAGGAAGUGUGGACAGCCUAACUAUGUUUAUCAAAUAUGCUAAAAGAGAAAAGAGUGGAGAUCAAAAUGUUUUAUUAAGUGACUGUUGCAAAUACAACUCAAGAAUCUGCAGCUGUUACUUUGAAAACUGUUGCAAAUAAAACUCAAGAUUCUGUAGCUGUUACUUUGAACAAUCGUUUGACCGAGCAUGCAUAUAUGUCAGCCAAGGAAUUAUGAAUUUAUAAAUGCAGUUUAUAUGUGAGAUGAGACUGUGUGCACUACUUCUUCAAUGCGCACAGAAAAGCAUGUCUUAUCAGGGUAAAAACUGCUGGACCAGAAAGCUGACUAUAUAUAGAAAAUUUGUGUCACUAAGCCAGAAACCAAAGCAGAAUAUAAAAAUUAUAAAUGAGUCAGAGAACUGGGCUUGUAAAGCUUGUUAUCUGACUCAAAGGUUUCAUUCCUGACUUUUUUGAUCAUAUUCUGAAACUGCUGGUAAAGUAACAACUCUACUGCCAUUAAAGAAGAUUAACCUUAUAAAAAACUGAUGGAUCCUUGAAAUGUAGAUCACACUAUACUGUCUGAACAGCAGCCAUUAUGGAGCCAGUAUUGGAAUCAUCUGCAGACGUGAGAUGCCAUGAAGACUUUAAUCUUUCAUGAAUACAGUCUACUGCCUUCUGAUUUUCACUCAUUCUGGAUUUUUCACUCAUUCUGAUCACUUGUGGAACAAAAAGAUAGAGGACACCAAGGACUAUGUCAUCCAGGUGUCAAAUCCCAAAAAAGACCCUUCACUAAUCCUGAGAAUCGGGUCAUUGUUGAAGCUUUAGUUGACAUGGUGCCUUCCUGCUUGAGAAGAGACAUUGAGAUAUGUCAUGUAGAAUGCAAAUUUGGCAGCAGAUCAUUGGAAACAUUAAUGCAGUGGGUGGCCACAGUAGGACAUAUGACCUGGUGUGCCAUAGGGCCACUGACAUGAUCUCAUCUGCAUGGAGAAGAGCAGCUGCAGUGACCAUUGAUCAGAUGGGUACUGGGGGGAGGGCUGCUACAGAGGCACCACUAACAGCAUAUAAAGAGUUCCUGUCCACUGUCAGGGAUCCAAACAUCUUCCAGGAAAGUGCAGAACAGCAUGUCUUUGACAUUGGUACUAUUGUUUCAGUGACAGCAAACAUGUCCCAAGAGGAGCUUCUAGUUUGCAGGUUGGUCUGGCUGAUCCAGAAGUGGAAAAGGAGGUCGAAGGUCAUAUUCAGCUGCCAGUAUGCCGUCACAAUGUGUCUUUCUUGUAGAAGAAGAUUCAGAAGGACUUCAAGGGCUCAAGCCAGUUUAAAAAGAGUCUUUAGAAGAAAAAUAAAGUACGGUGGCAGGAAUAUUCGUGCUUGUGGAAAACUUUGUACGACUGCCUUUCAUUUCUGAUACAACUAAAUGAGGAAAAAUUACUCCUGUCAUAUUAAAAUACUUCACAACUGUCCACAAUUUUCAGAGAGGCCCCUAAUUUUGACUCCAACUUUUCCUAUGUUCCUCUUAAAAUUGGAGAUUUUUUGAAAAAAAAACAUGGUAGAUUAUAGUAAGUACAUAAUGGCAAUCAUUACAGUUGCAGAUGUCUUUGACUUCAGAAAAUGCAUUUUAGUUAAGUCUGUCAGCUUUCUGCUUCAAAAGUAUCAGUAUUCAGAGUGUCCCUGAUCUGUUCCUGAUUUGAGGCCUUUGUACAGAGGGAUUAAAUUGAUCAUUCACAGCAUGAAGUUAUAGGAAAGAGUAGUGGAAGCUAGGUUAAGA